rnacentral:rRNA from 1 species
CUUCGGAUCGUAAAACCCUGUUGUUAGAGAAGAAAGUGCGCGAGAGUAACUGUUCACGUUUCGACGGUAUCUAACCAGAAAGCCACGGCUAACUACGUGCCAGCAGCCGCGGUAAUACGUAGGUGGCAAGCGUUAUCCGGAUUUAUUGGGCGUAAAGGGAACGCAGGCGGUCUUUUAAGUCUGAUGUGAAAGCCUUCGGCUUAACCGGAGUAGUGCAUUGGAAACUGGGAGACUUGAGUGCAGAAGAGGA